AUUUAUGCUCCAUGUUCUUAGAAUUUUGAGUCAUGUGGGAAUUGUAACGUCGUCGAAGAUGUGACAUAGCGAUGAUUUGGAAUGGCGAUAAGAAAUAGUGAGACUUGAUGCCACAUGUGGAUCCUUAGUACCCAAUCAUCCUUAGUUAGAGUUCAAGACCAGCUUAGGUUCUUAUUUAAUGGUUUUACUUAUUCUCCCUUCCUUAUUGAUAUAUUGUUC
rnacentral:lncRNA from 1 species